UACGAAGGGGGCUAGCGUUGCUCGGAAUCACUGGGCGUAAAGCGCACGUAGGCGGACUCUUAAGUCGGUGGUGAAAUCCUGGAGCUCAACUCCAGAACUGCCUUCGAUACUGAGAGUCUCGAGUCCGAGAGAGGUGAGUGGAACUGCGAGUGUAGAGGUGAAAUUCGUAGAUAUUCGCAAGAACACCAGUGGCGAAGGCGGCUCACUGGCUCGGUACUGACGCUGAGGUGGCGAAAGCGUGGGGAGCAAACAGG
rnacentral:rRNA from 1 species